UGACUGACAACCUGUCAGUAAAACAGGAGGUCCGUAGGAGAGGUUAAGGGCUAGGGGACAUUCUUCCAAGGCAUAGCCCCAGGAGGUCCCCAAGCGGGCCCACAGGCCUCUACAGAAAGGGCAGCAGUCCCUCCAGCUGGAAGGGGAUCAACAUGCAGUCGCUUCAAAAUGCCUGGAACACUGAUGUGAUGAAAAUUCUGAUGUAACUUACUUUGGUCCUACCCAGAGAAGAGUUUAUACCAAGAAUCCAUAAUGUGGAAAUAAUUCAGACCUGUAAAAAGAUAGAUAAGAACUUAAGUCUUCUCCAUCAAUUAUCCAUUGACUGUAAAGAAACAUGGUAAAUUCUGAAUUAUUAUUUUUGUUCUAAACAUCUGUCAUCAAAUUUCACUUGUUUUUGUCCUGUGACCUAAGUUGUCUGUUUGCUCUAAUGAAGCUGAGCUGUUC